UGAGGAAUAUUGCGCAAUGGGGGAAACCCUGACGCAGCAACGCCGCGUGGGUGAAGAAGGCCUUCGGGUCGUAAAGCCCUUUCGGACGGGACGAAAUUUCCGCGGGGACAAGCCGCGGAACUUGACGGUACCGUAGGAAGAAGCACCGGCUAACUCCGUGCCAGCAGCCGCGGUAAUACGGAGGGUGCAAGCGUUGUUCGGAAUUACUGGGCGUAAGCGCGUGUAGGCGGCUUGGCAAGUCAGAUGUGAAAGCCCUCGGCUGAACCGGGGAAGUGCAUCUGAAACUGCCUUGCUUGAGUACGGGAGAGGGAGGCGGAAUUCCCAGUGUAGAGGUGAAAUUCGUAGAUAUUGGGAGGAACACCGGUGGCGAAAGCGGCCUCCUGGACCGAUACUGACGCUGAGACGCGAGAGCGUGGGGAGCAAACAGG
rnacentral:rRNA from 2 species